rnacentral:rRNA from 1 species
CUACGGGGGGCUGCAGUGGGGAAUAUUGGACAAUGGGGGAAACCCUGAUCCAGCAAUGCCGCGUGUGUGAAGAAGGCCUGCGGGUUGUAAAGCACUUUCGGUUGGGAGGACUGCUUCUAGCACUAAUAUUGUUGGAAGUUGACGUUACCUUCAGAAGAAGCACCGGCUAACUCCGUGCCAGCAGCCGCGGUAAUACGGAGGGUGCAAUCGUUAAUCGGAAUUACUGGGCGUAAAGCGCGCGUAGGCGGCUAGAUCAGUCGGGUGUGAAAGCCCCGGGCUUAACCUGGGAACUGCGUCCGAUACUGUCUAGCUGGAGGACAGGAGAGGAGAGUGGAAUUCCACAUGUAGCGGUGAAAUGCGUAGAUAUGUGGAGGAACACCAAUGGCGAAGGCAGCUCUCUGGCCUGAUACUGACGCUGAGGUGCGAAAGCGUGGGGAGCAAACAGGAUUAGAUACCCCCGUAGUC